GAUGAACGCUGGCGGCGUGCCUAAUACAUGCAAGUCGAGCGAACAGACGAGGAGCUUGCUCCUCUGACGUUAGCGGCGGACGGGUGAGUAACACGUGGAUAACCUACCUAUAAGACUGGGAUAACUUCGGGAAACCGGAGCUAAUACCGGAUAAUAUAUUGAACCGCAUGGUUCAACAGUGAAAGACGGUUUUGCUGUCACAUAUAGAUGGAUCCGCGGCUCUUUAGCUAGUUGGUAAGGUAACGGCUUACCAAGGCUACGAUGCGUAGCCGACCUGACAGGAUGAUCGGCCACACUUGAACUGAGACACGGACCAGACUCCUACGGGGGGCAGCAGUAGGGGAUCUUCCGCAAUGGGCGAAAGCCUGACGGAGCAACGCCGCUUGAGUGAUGAAGGUCUUCGGACCGUAAAACUCUGUUAUUAGGGAAGAACAAAUGUGUAAGUAACUAUGCACGUCUUGACGGUACCUAAUCAGAAAGCCACGGCUAACUACGUG
rnacentral:rRNA from 1 species